rnacentral:rRNA from 1 species
GACGAACGCUGGCGGCGUGCUUAACACAUGCAAGUCGAACGAAGUGGCGAACGGGUGAGUAACGCGUAAUCAACCUGCCCUUCAGCGGGGGACAACAGUUUGAAACGACUGAUAAUACCCCAUUCAGAAGGAGGGGCUGGCGUCUGAUUAGCUAGUUGGAGGGGUAACGGCCCACCAAGGCGAUGAUCAGUAGCCGGUCUGAGAGGAUGAACGGCCACAUUGGGACUGAGACAAGGCCCAGACUCCUACGGGAGGCAGCAGUGGGGAAUCUUCCGCAAUGGAAGAAAGUCUGAAGAAGCAAAGCCGGGUGAGUGAUGACGGCCUUCGGGUUGUAAAGAUCUGUUAAUCGGGACGCGGUACCGGAAUAGAAAGCCACGGCUAACUACGUGCCAGCCGCCGCGGUAAUAC